AUUGAACGCUAGCGGGAUGCUUUACACAUGCAAGUCGAACGAGUGGCGGACGGGUGAGUAAGAUAUCGGAACGUGCCCAGUAGCGGGGGAUAACUACUCGAAAGCGUGGAUAAUACCGCAUAAUAUUGGAUCGGGCGAGAUUGGAUUAGCUAGUUGGUGGGGUAAAGGCUCACCAAGGCGAAGAUCCGUAGCAGGUUUGAGAGGACGACCAGCCACACUGGGACUGAGACACGGCCCAGACUCCUACGGGAGGCAGCAGUGGGGAAUUUUGGACAAUGGACGAAACCCUGAUCCAGCCAUCCCGCGUGUAUGAGAAGGCCUUCGGGUUGUAAAGUACUUUUGGCAGAGAAGCGGUAUCUGCAGAAUAAGCACCGGCUAACUACGUGCCAGCCGCCGCGGUAAUUC
rnacentral:rRNA from 1 species